rnacentral:rRNA from 1 species
AUGAACGCUAGCUACAGGCUUAACACAUGCAAGUCGAGGGGAAACGACAUCGAAAGCUUGCUUUUGAUGGGCGUCGACCGGCGCACGGGUGAGUAACGCGUAAGCAACCUGCCCUUCAGAUGGGGACAACAGCUGGAAACGGCUGCUAAUACCGAAUACGUUCUUUUUGUCGCAUGGCAGAGGGAAGAAAGGGAGGCUCUUCGGAGCUUUCGCUGAAGGAGGGGCUUGCGUCUGAUUAGCUAGUUGGAGGGGUAACGGCCCACCAAGGCGACGAUCAGUAGCCGGUCUGAGAGGAUGAACGGCCACAUUGGGACUGAGACACGGCCCAGACUCCUACGGGAGGCAGCAGUGAGGAAUAUUGGUCAAUGGGCGAGAGCCUGAACCAGCCAAGUAGCGUGCAGGAAGACGGCCCUAUGGGUUGUAAACUGCUUUUAUAAGGGAAUAAAGUGAGAGUCGUGACUCUUUUUGCAUGUACCUUAUGAAUAAGGACCGGCUAAUUCCGUG